AUUGAACGCUGGCGGCAGGCCUAACACAUGCAAGUCGAGCGGAUGAGAGGAGCUUGCUCUUCGAUUCAGCGGCGGACGGGUGAGUAAUGCCUAGGAAUCUGCCCAGUAGUGGGGGACAACGUUUCGAAAGGAACGCUAAUACCGCAUACGUCCUACGGGAGAAAGUGGGGGAUCUUCGGACCUCACGCUAUUGGAUGAGCCUAGGUCGGAUUAGCUAGUUGGUAGGGUAAAGGCCUACCAAGGCGACGAUCCGUAACUGGUCUGAGAGGAUGAUCAGUCACACUGGAACUGAGACACGGUCCAGACUCCUACGGGAGGCAGCAGUGGGGAAUAUUGGACAAUGGGCGCAAGCCUGAUCCAGCCAUGCCGCGUGUGUGAAGAAGGCCCUCGGGUCGUAAAGCACUUUAAGUUGGGAGGAAGGGCUUACAGCGAAUACCUGUGAGUUUUGACGUUACCGACAGAAUAAGCACCGGCUAACUCUGAGCCAGCCGCCGCCGUAA
rnacentral:rRNA from 1 species